rnacentral:misc_RNA from 1 species
GGAUUUUUGAGCUUUCCAGUCAGGUGAGUAAAAUGUCAGCUCAAAUAGAAAAGUUGCAGACAGAAGUUGAAGAAAAAUCUAUGCAAAUACAGAGACAAGAAGAGCUUGCCAAAGAAAAUCACCUGUACUUGUCGCAGAAAAUUAUAAUCCUCGAAGCCGAGAUUGAAAAUCUUCUAACAGACAAGAAAAUAUCUUCUGAUCAUGAAGAACAGAAGAACAGCCUGAUGGCUGAGUUAGAUAAAAUGAGGACAUCAAUUAAAGACAUGGAAUUGCUU